rnacentral:rRNA from 1 species
UACGGAGGGGGCUAGCGUUGUUCGGAAUUACUGGGCGUAAAGCGCACGUAGGCGGCUAUUCAAGUCAGAGGUGAAAGCCCGGGGCUCAACCCCGGAACUGCCUUUGAAACUAGAUGGCUAGAAUCUUGGAGAGGCGAGUGGAAUUCCGAGUGUAGAGGUGAAAUUCGUAGAUAUUCGGAAGAACACCAGUGGCGAAGGCGACUCGCUGGACUGGUAUUGACGCUGAGGUGCGAAAGCGUGGGGAGCAAACAGG